AGAAGCCGGGUUCUACCCGGCACGCAACAACGGAAGACAGAAA
rnacentral:ncRNA from 1 species